UACAAGCUUGAGCCACCGCGCCCGGCCCUAAAAAUUACUCUUAAGCAUACCAUUUGUUAAAUGCUUAUCAUAUCCUAGGAGUUUUUUAAGUCCUUCGAAUACAUUAUCUUAUUUCUCAGACCCUGUGAGGAAUUUGUAUUUCCAUUUUACAAAUGAGCAAACUGAGACAUAGUGGAAAAAGAAUUAAGCAACUUACCCAAAUCAUGUAUCUAGUAAGUGGCAGAGCUAGGAUUUAAAGACAGAUCUGUCUGACCCCAAAGCCUGUUCCCUUAAAAAUUAUGUGGCAUAGCCUCUUCAGAUAAACAGAAAAACAAACACAAUGAGACACUUUACAUAUGUAAUCUCAUUCUUUAAUAAUCAUAUAAGGAGAUGUUGUUAUGCCCAUUUUACAGGUGAGGAAAGAGACUCAGAAAGGUUAAGCAAUUUUCCCCAAAGUCGCCUCCCUAUUAAAUGAUGGACAGCGUUUGAACUCCAGCUUGUGUGACGCCAAGCUCAUUGCACAAUUCCAUUUCACCUUUCUGGAUCUCCACCUCAUUUGGCUUCAUUAUUUUCCCCAGUCAGGCGCUCACAGUUCAUGAACUAGUGGACACUUGGUGCUUGUGAAAACCUUGUUGAAUGACUGCAUGAAUUGCACACAUCAGCGCAUACCCUGAUGGCAGACAGGAAUAGCUGCUGCACCAGCUGGUCACAGGGGUAUUCAUAAAGCAGACAUUUGAAGCUGUUGGAAGGGAACCGAAGGUUAUCUGGUCCUUCAGGAGGCAUCCAGAAGAAGGCGUUAUCAUAGGAGAUGACAGCUCAUGCCUGCCAUUGCCCCGAAGGCCUCCUAGGGGGCCAAGAUGUGGAGGCGGAAGGCACUCUACCCUGAGUGGGCCUAGGCUAAUGUGUG